CGAGGAAUCUUCCACAAUGGGCGAAAGCCCGAUGGAGCAACGCCGCGUGGAGGACGACGGCCUUCGGGUUGUAAACUCCUUUCGGGGGGGAUGACACUGAUAGUACCCCCAGAAGCAGCCCCGGCUAACUCUGUGCCAGCAGCCGCGGUAAUACAGAGGGGGCAAGCGUUGUCCGGAAUUACUGGGCGUACAGCGCGCGCAGGCGGACCGCCACGUGCCGUGUGACAGACCACCGCUCAACGGUGGAGGGCCAUGGUACACGAGCGGUCUGGAGGCAGAGAGAGGGAUGUGGAAUGCCCGGUGGAGCGGUGAAAUGCGUAGAGAUCGGGCGGAACACCAGCGGCGAAGGCGGCAUCCUGGCUCUGUUCUGACGCUGAGGCGCGAGAGCGUGGGGAGCAAACUG
rnacentral:rRNA from 1 species